rnacentral:rRNA from 1 species
GACGAACGCUGGCGGCGUGCUUAACACAUGCCAGUCGAACGGAAAGGCCCUGCUUUUGUGGGGUGCUCGAGUGGCGAACGGGUGAGUAACACGUGAGUAACCUGCCCUUGACUUUGGGAUAACUUCAGGAAACUGGGGCUAAUACCGGAUAGGAGCUCCUGCUGCAUGGUGGGGGUUGGAAAGUUUCGGCGGUUGGGGAUGGACUCGCGGCUUAUCAGCUUGUUGGUGGGGUAGUGGCUUACCAAGGCUUUGACGGGUAGCCGGCCUGAGAGGGUGGCCGGCCACAUUGGGACUGAGAUACGGCCCAGACUCCUACGGGAGGCAGCAGUGGGGAAUAUUGCACAAUGGGCGGAAGCCUGAUGCAGCAACGCCGCGUGCGGGAUGACGGCCUUCGGGUUGUAAACCGCUUUCGCCUGUGAUGAAGCGUGAGUGACGGUAAUGGGUAAAGAAGCACCGGCUAACUACGUG